AUUUUCUUCAAUACGAACAAAACGUAUAUUUUGUGAUAAUUAUCCGAACAUUCACAUAUUUCAACCUACAUAGCAACAACGACUGACAAAGAUAUAGCUUCAAGCCUGCAUGGUAGCCUGUUUAUUUAGUCAUGAUCAGACUCCAGGUAAGGUGUCCAAAGUUGAACAUCAUAGGUUGUUGAAGAACGUAGACGUUGAUGGUGUUUUGUCUGUUCUACACGGUCAAAAAUAAACAUGUUUUAACUGAUACCAUCAUUAUUGUGUAUUAAUUAAAUUGUGUACAUAUUAAAUUAAUGUUAUAUUUUUAUAACUGCACUGUAAAGCAAAAAAAUAUUUUAUUGUUUAUGUAUAAGGAUCUUUAUAAAUUGUUUUAUGAAAUGGGUAGUAGUAACUGUAUGUGUAUUGGUUAUUCUUAUUUGGUUAAAUACAGAGAUAUUCAGGAUUUUAAACUUUAUUCUAAUAUUAA